CAACUGCAUUUCUUUUCUUUUAGAGCUUCCUGGGAUCGUUGCCUCACUCAGAGGGCUUAGAGGCCACGGAAACCUCAAAGGACCAGCUGGACCCUCACAAGCUCAAUGUGCUCAUAGAUGCUGUGUGAUAAAGCACUUUCCAAAUCCCAUAGUGUCUGCAGUCACAGAAAAUGCAACGAGUCCUACUCAAAGAUAACCGACCCUCCACUCCAAGAAUAAGGAUGGACAUUUUUCAGUUUCAGUUUGGUUCCACCAUUUGUACUGUAUGCUUGUGACGGAGUACCUUCACUGCAGGUGAGUAAGCGCUUGGACUGCCAUACGUUGCUGUCAAAGUUGCAUGUUUGGUACCCUGUAGACCUGUGUUUGAAUCUGGGUAGGGUGACACAUAUGGUGUCAGAAGUGGGAUAUGUGGAGUAUACCAGUAAUAUAUUACUAAUAAGCUGAAUUGCUAAUAAAAAUGUUCAGGGAACACUUUUAUAAUA